CAAGUAAGCUGGACAGCCGCGGGGUUGGGCCGAAAGGCCCUUCCGUGAGGAAAGUCCGGGCUCCACAGGGUAAGAAUAACGGGUAACGCCCGCCGAAGGCGACUUCAGGAAAAGUGCAACAGAGAUAUACCGCCUGACUGGCGCUUGCGUCAGACAGGUAAGGGUGGAAAAGCGAGGUAAGAGCUCACUGGCCGACUGGGAACUGCUCGGUCCUGUAAACUCUAUUCGGAGCAACACCGUGGAGGGAACACAUAGGCUGACCCGGCCGUUCCCGAGGAGGUGGCUUGACCGCGUUGGCAACGGCGCGGCUAGAUAGAUGGCUGUCAAAACAGAACCCGGCUUACAGGCUUACUUGUACC
rnacentral:RNase_P_RNA from 1 species